CGGGGAAAUCAUGAAAGUCGUCAGGUGAACUUGAGAUUGUGCUUAUAUUAUUUCCUAGUUUGGUUGAAGUACUGAUCAUGGAUCUGUAAUUUAUUUACUUGUAAGGUUCACUUUUUAGUUGAAGUACUUUUUUUAGACAGGAUUUAAACUGCUAGAUAUAAUUGUUUAAAAUUAUUCUGAUUUCUGAGCUUCCGUGCUUUUUAAAUUACUCGUCUCCGUCAAAAUCUUUCUUCUGAUAGUGGAUUUCUGUUUUCCAUUUCAGAUUACUCAAGUUUAUGG
rnacentral:misc_RNA from 1 species